GCCCGGCUCCCGUGCUGCCUCCUGUCGCCGACCGCUGCCCCGCCUCCCGUGCUGUCCGAGUGUCUUGCUGCCGCCAUGUCCCGGCUGCUGUCUACGCCGCGGGCCGCCGCGGGCGCCGGGGUCCGGCCCGCCACCGUGCUGGGCGCUAUGGGGAUGGGGACCGGCUUGGACGCUCCCGCCAGCGCCGCGGCCGUGCGCGCCUUCCUGGAGCGCGGCCACACCGAGAUAGACACGGCCUUCAUUUACACCGACGGCCAGUCCGAGACCAUCCUGGGCGGCCUGGGGCUCGGGCUGGGCGGCGGCGACUGCAAAGUGAAAAUCGCCACCAAGGCCAAUCCACUGGGUGAAAAUACCCUGAAGCCUGACUGUGUCCGGUUCCAGCUGGAGACGUCAUUGAAGCGGCUGCAGUGUCCCCGGGUGGACCUCUUCUACCUGCACCUGCCGGACCACAGCACCCCCGUGGAGGAGACGCUGCGUGCCUGCCACCAGCUGCACCAGGAGGGCAAGUUUGUGGAGCUGGGCCUCUCCAACUAUGCCGCCUGGGAGGUGGCUGAGAUCUGCACCCUCUGCAAGAGCAACGGCUGGAUCAUGCCCACCGUGUACCAGGGCAUGUACAACGUCAUCACCCGGCAGGCGGAAAAGGAACUCUUCCCCUGCCUGAGGCACUUUGGACUGAGGUUCUACGCCUACAACCCUCUGGCUGGGGGCCUGCUGACCGGCAAGUACAAGUAUGAGGACAAGGACGGGAAACAGCCUGCGGGCCGCUUCUUUGGGAAUAACUGGGCAGAGAUCUACAGGAAUCGCUACUGGAAGGAACCCCACUUCCAGGCCAUCGCCAUGAUGGAGAAGGCCCUGCAGGCUGCUUAUGGACCCAGCGCCCCCAGCAUGACCUCGGCCGUCCUCAGGUGGAUGUACCACCACUCCCAGCUCCAGUAAAGAAGUCUGAAGCUCAGAGAGCUCAAGUAAGCAAGCCACGUCUACCCAGCUGCCAAGUGGCUGAGGGUGCCCUCGGGGACGCUGUCAUACUGGGUAUGACCAACCUGGAGCAGCUGGCACAGAACUUGGCAGCGGCUGAGGAGGGGCCCCUGGAGCCGGCCGUCGUGCAGGCCUUUGAUGAUGCGUGGCACCUGGUUGCCCAUGAAUGUCCCAACUACUUCCGCUAAGCCCCCAAGGGCUCAAGCCGCCAGCGGUUUCUUUCUUUCCUGUCCCCUCUUCUGUUCUCUCCCUUGGCCAGUGUUUGCCUUAAGCUGAUUGAGCCUGAUCUUCCGUGGCUGUCUGGAUCCACACGUUAAUUUGUAGAUUCCUGCCUUGCUCGGGUGGCCUUCUCACUGUGUAAGGCUGGGGCGGAGCCCUGCUCGGCAGUUCCUGUCUGAAUAAAGCAGGCAUUUGACCCGGCUGUAGCCCAGGCCCUGAGUCA